AGGAGGUGAAGGUGGAUGCAGCAGACAAGGGGGAGGUGAAGGAGGAGAACCGGGAGGAGGAACCCAAUGUGGGAGCUUCUUCGAAGGUCAAGCUGGUUCUUGGGGAGGACAUAAGAUUUGCUCUGCUCCCCCCGGAAUGCAGCAUCCUGCAGCUGCGGGAGAUUGUGAAGAACCGGUUUCCGAGCACUGAGGGCGUUCUCGUGAAGUACAGAGACCAGGAGGGCGACCUGGUGACCAUCACCACCACCGAGGAGCUGAGAUGGGCGGAGGAGUCCGGCGAUCCUCAGGGGUCCCUCAGGCUGUACCUCGCCGAAGUCAGCCCCGACCAGGACCCGCUGUUUCUAUCUCUGUCCGAGAUAACCAGGAAGAACUCCUACUGGAAUCUGGGCUCCCUGCAGAACGGUGUUCAUGAGAAUGGGAGCAUCAGGAGCUCGGGGGAGAGGGAGACCGCCUGCAUCGAGGAAUGGAUCGUGCACUUCGCCCAGCUGUUCAAGAACCACGUUGGCUUCAACUCCGACGCGUACCUGGACCUCCACGAGCUCGGGAUGAAGCUCUACUCGGAGGCCAUCGAGGACGUCGUCACGAGUGAGGAUGCCCAAGAGAUCUUCAACCUGGCGGAGAAGACGUUCCAGGAGAUGGCGGCGCUCGCUCUGUUCAACUGGGGAAACGUCCAC
rnacentral:lncRNA from 1 species